rnacentral:rRNA from 1 species
GAUUGUUUGAUCAUGGCUCAGAUUGAACGCUGGCGGCACGCUUACACAUGCAAGUCGAACGGCAGCGCGGGCUUCGGCCUGGCGGCGAGUGGCGAACGGGUGAGUAAUGCAUCGGAACGUGCCCUGGAGUGGGGGAUAACUAGUCGAAAGAUUAGCUAAUACCGCAUACGAUCUAAGGAUGAAAGUGGGGGACCGCAAGGCCUCAUGCUCCUGGAGCGGCCGAUGUCUGAUUAGCUAGUUGGUGGGGUAAAAGCCUACCAAGGCGACGAUCAGUAGCUGGUCUGAGAGGACGACCAGCCACACUGGGACUGAGACACGGCCCAGACUCCUACGGGAGGCAGCAGUGGGGAAUUUUGGACAAUGGGGGAAACCCUGAUCCAGCAAUGCCGCGUGUGUGAAGAAGGCCUUCGGGUUGUAAAGCACUUUUGUCAGGAACGAAACGGUGAGGGCUAAUAUCCCUUGCUAAUGACGGUACCUGAAGAAUAAGCACCGGCUAACUACGUGCCAGCAGCCGCGGUAAUACGUAGGGUGCAAGCGUUAAUCGGAAUUACUGGGCGUAAAGCGUGCGCAGGCGGUUGUGCAAGACAGAUGUGAAAUCCCCGGGCUUAACCUGGGAAUGGCAUUUGUGACUGCACGGCUAGAGUGUGUCAGAGGGGGGUAGAAUUCCACGUGUAGCAGUGAAAUGCGUAGAUAUGUGGAGGAAUACCGAUGGCGAAGGCAGCCCCCUGGGAUAACACUGACGCUCAUGCACGAAAGCGUGAGGAGCAAACAGGAUUAGAUACCCUGGUAGUCCACGCCCUAAACGAUGUCAACUAGUUGUCGGGUCUUAACUGACUUGGUAACGCAGCUAACGCGUGAAGUG